CGGCAGGCCUAACACAUGCAAGUCGAGCGGCAGCGGGAAGAUAGCUUGCUAUCUUUGCCGGCGAGCGGCGGACGGGUGAGUAAUGCCUAGGGAUCUGCCCAGUCGAGGGGGAUAACAGUUGGAAACGACUGCUAAUACCGCAUACGCCCUACGGGGGAAAGGAGGGGACCUUCGGGCCUUCCGCGAUUGGAUGAACCUAGGUGGGAUUAGCUAGUUGGUGAGGUAAUGGCUCACCAAGGCGACGAUCCCUAGCUGUUCUGAGAGGAUGAUCAGCCACACUGGGACUGAGACACGGCCCAGACUCCUACGGGAGGCAGCAGUGGGGAAUAUUGCACAAUGGGGGAAACCCUGAUGCAGCCAUGCCGCGUGUGUGAAGAAGGCCUUCGGGUUGUAAAGCACUUUCAGUAGGGAGGAAAGGUA
rnacentral:rRNA from 1 species